AGGACGAACGCUGGCGGCGUGCUUAACACAUGCAAGUCGAGCGGAAAGGCCUUUCGGGGUACUCGAGCGGCGAACGGGUGAGUAACACGUGAGUAAUCUGCCCAUCGCUUCAGGAUAGCCAUCGGAAACGGUGAUUAAUACUGGAUAUGACAUUCCUUCGCAUGUUGGGGUGUGGAAAGUUUUUUUCGGCGGUGGAUGUGCUCGCGGCCUAUCAGCUUGUUGGUGGGGUAAUGGCCUACCAAGGCUUUGACGGGUAGCCGGCCUGAGAGGGUGACCGGCCACACUGGGACUGAGACACGGCCCAGACUCCUACGGGAGCAGCAGUGGGGAAUAGUUGGACAAUGGGCGAAGCCUGAUCCAGCAACGCCGCGUGAGGAUGACGGCUUCGGGUUGUAACCUCGUUCAGCACAGACGAACGUUUUGUCGUUUUUGGUGUAAGUGACGUUAUGUGCAGAAGAAGGACCGGCAACGUACGUCG
rnacentral:rRNA from 1 species